rnacentral:rRNA from 1 species
AUUGAACGCUGGCGGCAGGCCUAACACAUGCAAGUCGAGCGGAUGAAGGGAGCUUGCUCCUGGAUCCAGCGGCGGACGGGUGAGUAAUGCCUAGGAAUCUGCCUGGUAGUGGGGGAUAACGUCCGGAAACGGGCGCUAAUACCGCAUACGUCCUGAGGGAGAAAGUGGGGGAUCUUCGGACCUCACGCUAUCAGAUGAGCCGAGGUCGGAUUAGCUAGUUGGUGGGGUAAAUGCCUACCAAGGCGACGAUCCGUAACUGGUCUGAGAGGAUGAUAAGUCACACUGGAACUGAGACACGGUCCAGACUCCUACGGGAGGCAGCAGUGGGGAAUAUUGGACAAUGGGCGAAAGCCUGAUCCAGCCAUGCCGAGUGUGUGAAGAAGGUCUUCGGAUUGUAAAGAACUUUAAGUUGGGAGGAAGGGCAGUAAGUUAAUACCUUGCUGUUUUGACGUUACCAACAGAAUAAGCACCGGCUAACUUCGUG